UACGUAGGGUGCGAGCGUUAAUCGGAAUUACUGGGCGUAAAGCGUGCGCAGGCGGUUUUGUAGGCCAGAUGUGAAAUCCCCGGGCUUAACCUGGGAAUGGCAUUUGGGACUGCAAGGCUCGAGUGCGGCAGAGGAGACUGGAAUUCCUGGUGUAGCAGUGAAAUGCGUAGAUAUCAGGAGGAAUACCGAUGGCGAAGGCAGGUCUCUGGGCUGACACUGACGCUCAUGCACGAAAGCGUGGGGAGCAAACAGG
rnacentral:rRNA from 1 species